CCGCUCGCGCUGCUCUACUUAGCGCGGAUGCACUAUUGCGGUGUACGACCUUCACCAUGGGGAUCUCCAUUAACGGUUAUGGAAGAAAGUUCGCUCAUCGACCUCAUCAACAUUGUGCUUGAUUCACAUUGCAAUAGCUCCUGCGUGGUAACCUGAUAUCCAGAUGUCCACUUAGUCAAAUCCGAGUGCUUAAGUAUUAACAGUGAUUGGAUCUGGACUUGUGCACACCGGUAAACACAUGAACAGAGGAGAUUAAGGAUUACCGUCAUGUAGAUCUUGGCACGGCAAUGGUAGCUGGUCGCCGUAGGUGUAGCCACUGUCCGUCCUGCAGAAAAGGAAGGGCUCGGAUCCAGUUGCUGGCGCAGAGAUCCGAAGCCGCCAUGGGAAGAACUCUUCCAGUCACUCCGACUUAUAGGCGAUGAGUCCUUCUGUGGAUUAGGGUUUAGGGCGAGCUCUCUCAUUCGCCUGACCGACAUCGUGAUUGGUUCACACUUCAAAACCUUCUGUUGCCUGAUCUAUUACAUUUUCAGAUGACAACAACACUACGAAUAAAAGGAGUGACGCCUACAGUUAGCCAUAGCAUCUGAUGCUUUUGUUAAAUGCAGCUCAGACUGAUGAUAUGGUUAACUAGAUGUAAUAUAUAACUACUACUUUUGAUUUGAUGCCCACUGCGGUUCUAGGACACCCAUAGCAAGAAACGACCCUCUUUUUGCAUGUAUACAUGUCAGUAUCUCAUACUACCAAAACAAACACUUGAUGAAGACAUAGAUGUGUAGCCUUGCAAUGUCAUACUUUAAAUCUACAAAUAUCCCCUCCCUAUGUAAAUGUACCAAAUUUAUUGGCACAUCAUAUUUGCCGCUUAUACUGUAAUCUACAACCGUAUUUUAAUAUCGCGCGUAGGGGCGCGACAUGCAAUAGUUAAUGAAAUCGGACGGGGAAUUGGGGAUGGGAAGGAGCUAUUUGCCAUUACA